rnacentral:rRNA from 1 species
GAUUAGCUAGUUGGUGGGGUAAUGGCCUACCAAGGCGACGAUCUGUAGCUGGUCUGAGAGGACGACCAGCCACACUGGGACUGAGACACGGCCCAGACUCCUACGGGAGGCAGCAGUGGGGAAUUUUGGACAAUGGGGGAAACCCUGAUCCAGCAAUGCCGCGUGUGUGAAGAAGGCCUUCGGGUUGUAAAGCACUUUUGUCCGGAAAGAAAACCUUCGAGCUAAUACCUUGAGGGGAUGACGGUACCGGAAGAAUAAGCACCGGCUAACUACGUGCCAGCAGCCGCGGUAAUACGUAGGGUGCGAGCGUUAAUCGGAAUUACUGGGCGUAAAGCGUGCGCAGGCGGUUUGUUAAGACAGAUGUGAAAUCCCCGGGCUUAACCUGGGAGCUGCAUUUGUGACUGGCAAGCUAGAGUAUGGCAGAGGGGGGUAGAAUUCCACGUGUAGCAGUGAAAUGCGUAGAGAUGUGGAGGAAUACCGAUGGCGAAGGCAGCCCCCUGGGCCAAUACUGACGCUCAUGCACGAAAGCGUGGGAGCAAACAGGAUUAGAUACCCUGGUAGUCCACGCCCUAAACGAUGUCAACUAGUUGUGGGGGUUCAUUUCCUUAGUACGUAGCUAACGCGUGAAGUUG